AGUGAACGCUGGCGGUAGGCCUAACACAUGCAAGUCGAACGGCAGCACAGUAAGAGCUUGCUCUUACGGGUGGCGAGUGGCGGACGGGGGAGGAAUACAUCGGAAUCUACUUUUUCGUGGGGGAUAACGUAGGGAAACUUACGCUAAUACCGCAUACGACCUACGGGUGAAAGCAGGGGAUCUUCGGACCUUGCGCGAUUGAAUGAGCCGAUGUCGGAUUAGCUAGUUGGCGGGGUAAAGGGCCACCAAGGCGACGAUCCGUAGCUGGUCUGAGAGGCUGAUCCGCCACACUGGAACUGAGACACGGUCCAGACUCCUACGGGAGGCAGCAGUGGGGAAUAUUGGACAAAGGGGGAAAGCCUGAUCCAGCCAUACCGCGUGGGUGAAGAAGGCCUUCGGGUUGUAAAGCCCUUUUGUUGGGAAAGAAAAGCAGCAGGUUAAUACCCCGCUGUUCUGACGGUACCCAAAGAAUAAGCACCGGCUAACUUCGUG
rnacentral:rRNA from 1 species